rnacentral:rRNA from 1 species
UACGUAGGGGGCAAGCGUUGUCCGGAAUCAUUGGGCGUAAAGAGCGCGUAGGCGGUCCGGUAAGUCCGCUCUGAAAGUCCGGGGCUCAACCCCGAGAGGUCGGUGGAAACCGUCUGGCUAGAGUCCGGAAGAGGAGAGUGGAAUUCCCGGUGUAGCGGUGAAAUGCGCAGAUAUCGGGAAGAACACCCGUGGCGAAGGCGGCUCUCUGGGACGGUACUGACGCUGAGACGCGAAAGCGUGGGGAGCGAACAGG